CCUAUAUGAAGUCGGAAUUGCUAGUAAUCGCAGAUCAGCAUGCUGCGGUGAAUACGUUCCCGGGCCUUGUACACACCGCCCGUCACACCAUGAGAGUCGAUAACACCCGAAGCCUGUAGUCUAACCAUAAGGAGGACGCAGUCGAAGGUGGGAUUGAUAAUUAGGGUGAAGUCGUAACAAGGUAGC
rnacentral:rRNA from 1 species